AUUGAACGCUGGCGGCAGGCCUAACACAUGCAAGUCGAGCGGAUGAAGGGAGCUUGCUCCUUGAUUCAGCGGCGGACGGGUGAGUAAUGCCUAGGAAUCUGCCUGGUAGUGGGUGAUAACGUCCGGAAACGGGCGCUAAUACCGCAUACGUCCUGAGGGAGAAAGUGUGGGAUCUUCGGACCUCACGCUAUCAGAUGAGCCUAGGUCGGAUUAGCUAGUUGGUGGGGUAAAGGCCUACCAAGGCGACGAUCCGUAACUGGUCUGAGAGGAUGAUCAGUCACACUGGAACUGAGACACGGUCCAGACUCCUACGGGAGGCAGCAGUGGGGAAUAUUGGACAAUGGGCGCAAGCCUGAUCCAGCCAUGCCGCGUGUGUGAAGAAGGUCUUCGGAUUGUAAAGCACUUUAGGUUGGGAGGAAGAGCAGUAAGUUAAUGCCUUGCUGUUUUGACGUUACCAAAAGAAUAAGCACCGGCUAACUUCGUG
rnacentral:rRNA from 1 species